CUUAGGCAUAACACCUCUGCUCAUUCUUAGCUUCACUCUCCAUCAUCACUCCCUGCGUUGGCCGUCGGCUUCUGCACCCUACCGUCGUUUCACCGCUGCUACCGCACAUUCGUUUGAGGCUUUUGGAGCUUUUUGGUGCACAUUUGGUGCAUAUUUGGUGCUUGAGCUGCCAUGGGUUUUGAUAUCGAGUGCAUAAUUGAUAUUCAUUCCUAUCCAGGGGAAUACUUUUGCCCUGUUUGUAGAACGCUUGUGUAUCCUAAUGAAGCGUUUCAAGCACAAUGUACCCAUCUAUACUGCAAAGCAUGUUUAGUGCACAUUGCAAAUGGUAGCAAGGCCUGCCCUUAUGAUGGAUACCUGGUUACAGAACCUGAUUCCAAGCCACUAGCAGAGUCUGACAAAGCUCUAGCUGAAAAGGUUGGGAAAGUUAGGGUACACUGCCUCUACUUCCGAAGUGGAUGCUCAUGGGAGGGUACUCUAUCUGAUUGCCCAUCCCAUUGUGCUGGGUGCUCCUUUGGAAAUUCUCCUGUCAUAUGCAACAGAUGUGGCAUCCAGAUUAUCCAUCGGCAAGUGCACGAUCAUGCACAGAUUUGCCCUGGCGGUUAUGAUGGGCAACAGGCUGUAGCUUCAUCAGGCGUAACCAGAUCUGUCACAACCCCGACAGCAAUUACUGCUGUGGCCAACCAGACUGUUGCUCAAUCAGGAGCACCUGUUCCUCAGACCCAGAAUCCUCAAAAUGUUUCUGCGACACAGUUACCUCCUGGGCAAAAUGCUAAUCUGCAGGCAAGGGUCCCAACUGCUGUUCCUGCUGCUAUGCCAGCACCAGAUCAGUGGUAUCAACAACAGUAUCAACAAUAUUAUCAGCAAUACCCAGGAUAUGAUCCCUACCAGCAGCAACAUUAUUACCCUCCUCAGCAACAACAAUUUCAACAGUACCAGCAACAUGUGGUGCAAGUGCAGGGUCAACACCAGUCUCAUGUCUACUCCCAGGCUGUAGUGCCACCCCAGCCGCAAGGCCAAGCCCCAUCCCAAGCCCAAGUGCAGCCACAACCACACCUGCUGCAGCUUCAGCCACCUCAACAGAUCAACCCCGUCGGUCAAGCUUCUCAACAGCCUCAUCUGCAACUGCAGGUCCAAGGUCAGGCUCAACCACCACCUCAGCCUCAACUCCAAAUGAUGCCGCAGGCUCAGGCACAACUUCCAUCUCAAGGGCAGGCCCAGGCUAAUGCACCUGGUCAAGCUUUAGCUCCGAACUAUCAGAUUCACCCACUGCAACAACCUCAUCGACCUCAAACUCAGAUUGCUCAGCAGGCGCUACCACCACCUCCUCCACAGCCACCUCAGUUUCCCCAGACAGUAGGACCGCGGCCUCCUGCACAGCAUGCACAGGUGCCUCAACACCAGCUAGGUCAAGGGCAGAUUCAUCAUCCUCAAGGUUCCCAAGUAUUACCCCAAAUGCAUCCUCAAACUCAAGGCUAUGUGCAAUCAUCAAGCCAGUCAAAUGUUCAGAGUCAACCCCUAGCACAGCAUUAUCAAUCACAACCUCAACAUCCUGCUUUCCAUUCUCAAACAAACCAGCCUGCAGCGCUGGCCGCCCCUCCCCUGGCUCCGCAUCCACCACCUCCUCCCGUAAGUGGGCAUCAUUCAUAUCAACAACCGCAGACAGCUCAGAAAAUGCAUACAGGAGCUCCACAGCAGCAUGCUGUGCUUCCAUGUCCGACUAGUGGGUCUAUGCAUUCAGUUCAAGGGUAUGCUCAAACCCUACAGCAACCUACACCUUUACAGCCACCCCAAUCUCACAGUUCAUUUUCCCAGCAACAGCCAUCUGCGCCGGUGCCGCUGCAAAAUCAGGUAGCUGGCAUUCCUCAUGCGCCGCACCAGCAGUUUCUACCUCAUGGACAACAACCUACCCAUCCAAUCCAGCAUCGUCCUGUCAUGCAGCCAGUUCAACAAGGACCCCCUCAUAAUUAUGCUCAACAGCAGCAGUUUGCUGCCUCAUUUCAAGGUCAGUUGCACCAGCAAGGACAUCUCCCUCAACAGCCACAUAUUCAAUCUCAGAUGCAGAUGCGUCCACCUGGUCCCCCUCAACCACAACAAUCUCAAAACUAUCCUGGGACUCCUUUGAUGCCAAAUCAGGGGAUACCUCCUCCAAGCCAACAGAUGACAUCUGGUGGUUUUGGUGCUUCCAUUCAUUAUGGACCUGCCCAUGGAGGUUCAACUCAGUCAUCUAUUAGUCAAAAUCAGAAUCAUGCAAAGCCUGCCGAACUUCAGCAGAAUGCAACUGUUAAAGAAAUUAGAUCUCCUAAAAAGGAACUGGCUGAAAAAGGAUUUGAAGGUGACUCCCUGAAAGAGGAAAUGGGGACUGGAUUUAAUGGAACAGUUGUCCAGGACGCUGAUGAUUCAGCAAAGGAUGGUUCGGUGAAGUCUGUUACCAAGCAGGAGAAGGGUGAGCUCAUGGGUUCGAGGGAGAAAGCAAAUGAAGGGGUGGAAAAUGAAAACCGCAAAGAAGACGCCUGGACAUUGUUAGAUUCUGUUCCACUGAAGCAAGCAGACCCUGAAACUGUCGUGAAUCUGUCAAAAACUGCUGGAAUAUCAUCUGGAAAUUUUGGUAAUGAAACUGUCCCAGGUAUCUCUAUCUCCAGUGCAGAAGGGAAUGUUUUACCGCCACAGUCUCAUGGUUCCCACCAAGAAAGGUCUCAAGCACAAGUGCAGGGGCACCCUUCAUCAACAGUUGGGGUGCAAGGCCCAGGAGCUUUGCAUCAUGGCGGGCAAUCAGUAAACUUAAGUGAAGGGAAGGUGCCGGGUAAUCUGGGUGGUCUACCUAAGAGUUUUGAAUCGCUAUCUGAGACACAUGGGACUAUGGGAAAACCUCCCUUUGAAAGUCAAUAUGUAUCCCAACAUGUUAGGCCAAUGUCGAGUGAUCAGAUGCCAGGUUCUGGUGAAUGGCGCUCCCUCACCAAAUCUCAUACCGAUGAGCUGAAUAUUAGAAUGAAUGGGGGUGCAACUCCUGACCCCUCUAUGUUUGGUUCUAGAGAUGAAAAUUCAAAUCACAUGUCAAAGGAGCCAACCCGCACAUUUGACCAAGCACCAAGGUUUCUUGAUAAACCACUCCAUGGGCAUAGUUAUGAUGCUGUAUCUAAGUUGGAUCCCGGCGCUACAGGCCCGUAUUCAAGAUUUUUGCCACAUGAUCAAUCUGGUGGACCUGUGCAUGGGGAUAUGUUUGGUCCAGGGCCUGAAUUUGGCCAUCGUAUAAAGCCAUUUCCUUAUCAUAGUCCUGGCAGGGAGUAUCCUGGCUCGCCAUCCCGUCGAUUUGGGGGCCCCUCAAGCUUCCCUCGUGGCACUUCAGCUUUCGAGGACCAUAAUUCCAGGGAAGCACAUAGAUUCGGAGAAGGAUCCAGGUCUUUCAAUCUCUCUUCUGAUCUGGUUAGAAAUCAAUUUCGUGACGACAGGUUUCCUCCUUUGCCUGGUCACCUACGAAGAGAUGACAUUGAUGACCAUGGGAAUCCUAGGUAUGGUGAGCAUAUGGCUCCUGACUUGCACCCCAACCAAAUUGGUGCAAAUGAUGUUUUUGGCGCUGAAGGACCUGGCCAUUUGAUGAAGGGAAAAUUUCCAGGCCCAGGAUAUUUGUCUGGUCAUUUCAAUACGGGUGAGACUGCCGGGCCUGGUCCUUUGCCUGGUCAUGGCCGUGCAGGAGAACUUACAGGGAAUUUUCCUCGUCCUCCGUUCUCUCAGUCUGCAAGAGGUGACAUGCCUAGUUUCCUGCAUCUCGGGGAGCCACCCAUGAGGAACAACUAUCCGUACCAUGGAAUGCCUAAUGCUGUACAUUUCUCUGGUGGAUUGGAUUCGUUUGAUCAGUCCAGGAAGAGGAAACCUAUUAGCAACGGAUGGUGCAGGAUUUGUGAAUUUGAUUGUGAAACAGUGGAAGGAUUGGAGAUGCAUUCUCAGACAAGGGAGCACCAGAAUAUGACUAUGGAUAUGGUUAAACGCAUCAAAUUGCAAAACAAAAAGCCAAGAGCUCCUGGUGGACAUAAGGUACACGAAGGAGGAAGCAGAACUAGAAAAGUGGGCACUGUUGGCCAUGGAAGCAAGCCUUGAUCCUGGUUGAAGUUUUUUAGUUGGAAAUCUUAUUCUGGUUGCUGCUUUCAAUUUGGAGUGUUUCAGGAUUGAAGGUUUUUGGCAAUUAGAUCAUUUCAAUUCAACCUGUCUUUUCUUCGGGGAAGCAGAAGAGUAAAAAGGCUGAAAGUUAAGCAGGAUGGUUGCCCGCUUUUGAAUUGGGGGUAAGGACACGGUUGGUGCAGAGUUUACUUGAUAGGUGAUUUUUUACCUAAAUUUUCUUAAUAUACGCUAAUCUUCUGUGAGCUCAUAUAAGAAAUAUUAUUCAGGUUGGAUUUACCACAGUGGUUCCUAAAAUAAUCUUUUUUAUAGUGUUCUUAUGAUGUACUAUUUGGAAGUUGAGUUGGUUCAUAGUGUCUUUGGUUGCCUGCUUCGUAUAUGGUCUGGAGGCUUUUGAGAAGAAAUGCUUCCAAAUUUGCAUAAAUAUAGAAUACAUUGUUUGUGUAAAAUGAUUGUGUAUCAUAAUUUUAUUAUAGUAAAUAGAGGUCUAUUGAAGCAGUUUUAAUGAUCUCUUAGAUAAGGACUCUAUUAUGUUGAACACUUCUUGGGUAAAAAAUUGAAAUAGGUUGGUGAAGUAUAAUUUAGUUGCUGAGUUGGAGUUUGCCUGCAUGGAGGACUUUAUCUUAUAACAACCUAAUAAUGGAAAUAAAAUUAGUUUGCUAGCAAGUCUUUUGUGUUAUUUUAUAGAUGCCAUGAGAUCCAAAUAUUAUUAGGCUGUCAAACUGGACAUUUGAACAACUCUGGUAACUUCCCAUAACAGUGGAAUGCAAUUUUUCUACAUUAGGCUUCAUUCAGUUUCACAUAAAAUCCUUUCUUGUGUAUCUGUGGAUAUAGCUAAUUACACCUCCUACUUCAGUGGAGUGUCGUCCAAUGUGCUCAUAAAUUCAUAAUCUCUCCCUUGUUGGGUGCUUCCUGAUUCAAGUGAGAUCAGAUUCUUGACUAUUCAGAACACUAAAAUAACAAAUAUGGAGAUGGGGUGAUAGAUAGGCACAGUCUUUGGCCUGAUUGUGACUGUUAAUAUCCGAGUACAUCGUAUGCAGAAAAAUGACUAAUUAAUCUGAUAAGCUAUGACUUCAAAAUGAUAUUGUAAAAGAUUUAGAAAAAAAGAUUAUGAUGACUGAGACAGAAGUGUCUAGAGAGGCGACUAUGCGUAUAAAUUUUGAACAACACAACUCUAGAUGUUUAAAUAUUUGUUGUUUGUGUUUACCUCAGUUCAAUGAAUAACAUGCAAAUAAUUAAUGGGACAUAAAAGAUUUUGCUACUGCUAGUAUAACAUUCUUUCAGGAAACUGGUAUAGCAUAGUUUUCUUCUUGUAGUAAUUGUCUUUUUGCCAUAUUGGCCUUUCUUAAUUUUCCACAUUUUGCCUUAUCUUUUAACCUACUUCCAUUUCUUUUAAUCAAUGAUAUAAAAUGAUUAAGGCUUCAUAUCUAAUAUGGUUGUAUAACUGGAUUACUGAAAAAGGAGAAUUAUUCUGGGAACUAAAUAUAAGCAGCUUCGUUCAUUUUCUUAAAACUGGUAUUACUGGCGUUUUCAUGUCCCGCUGCAGCCUAUUUUGUUCCAUAGUCAUCUUGGCCCUGUUUAAAAUCUUUAGAUCUACAUAGCAACUGAGUUGUUUGGACAGUUGUGCAAUGAUAUCUAGUUUUUAGAUUUCAUGGUGUGAUUCUUAUGCCAGAAUCGCAGCACUUAUUCAUGACACAUAGAAUGCUGCCUUGAAGGUGGGUAAUUCAGUAAUCCAAUAUGGUUAUGAUUAUAUUAGAACCUCCGGCAACUAAUUACUCUAGACACUACAACCUCAGAUUCGGUUAUGAUGUAGGACUCAGAAAAUGCGAAUACUGAAGAUUACCUUGGACUUGGUUAUGACAUAGAAUUACCAUUUGCGUAGCAAACACGAAUACUGAAGAUAACCUUGGACUUGGUUAUGGUGUAGAAUUACCAUCUGCGUAGCAAACACGAAUACUGAAGAUUACCUUGGACUUGGUUAUGACAUAGAAUUACCAUUUGCGUAGCAAACACGAAUACUGAAGAUGGCCUUGGACUUGGUUAUGGUGUAGAAUUACCAUCUGCGUAGCAAACACGAAUACUGAAGAUUACCUUGGACUUGGUUAUGACAUAGAAUUACCAUUUGCGUAGCAAACACGAAUACUGAAGAUGGCCUUGGACUUUGUUAUGAUGUAGAAUUACCAUCUGCGUAGCAAAGACGAAUACUGAAGAUUACCUAGGACUUGGUUAUGCCGUAGAAUUACCAUUUGCAUAGCAAACACGAAUGUAGAACAUAGAAAGUGCCUUAUGCAGUAGCAUUAUAGGAUGUAUGACUGGAUACUCAACCAAUUAAAACACAAAUAUCUAACACAAACCAUGCUCUGUGAUUAUAUUUCAUGCUAAUGCACUGCCUAGCUUGGCAGUGUAGCUUUUUUUCCUUUUGACUUCUAGGAUUAACUAUGCAAGAGUCGUCGUUCUUCCUUUGUUUGUCGUUCACUUCUUCUCCCAGUUGGCAAGCAUGGCUUCAAGCAGUAGUUUAUUUCAGGGAGAUAGGCUGGUGCUGUUAUUUUUUCCAAUUAUUUUUUCCUUUAGGUGACAAGAUUGGAAAAUUUUCUUUAUUGUUAUGUGGUUCUUGGGACUGUAUGAAGAGCCUCUAUUUCGAUCAGUAAAUUGUUGAUGGAUUAUAUUAUAAAUUCAUUUAGUUUGGAA